rnacentral:rRNA from 1 species
AAUGAACGUUGGCGGCAUGGAUUAGGCAUGCAAGUCGAGGGAGAACCCGCAAGGGGGACACCGGCGAACGGGGUAGGAAUACAUAGGUAACGUACCCUCAGGACGGGGAUAGCCAAGGGAAACUUUGGGUAAUACCCGAUGUGAUGUCAGGAUGUGAAUGCCUGCCAUCAAAGGUGAGAUUCCACCUGGGGAGCGGCUUAUGCAUCAUUAGCUUGUUGGCGGGGUAACGGCCCACCAAGGCUGCGAUGAUUAGGGGGUGUGAGAGCAUGGCCCCCACCACUGGCACUGAGACACUGGCCAGGCACCUACGGGUGGCUGCAGUCGAGAAUCUUCGGCAAUGGGCGAAAGCCUGACCGAGCGAUGCCGCGUGCGGGAUGAAGGUCUUCGGAUUGUAAACCGCUGUCGGAGGGGAUGAAGUGUAUGGGAGCAAUCUCCUGUAUUUGACAGAGCCUCGGAGGAAGCACGGGCUAAGUUCGUGCCAGCCGCCGCAGUAAUAC